rnacentral:rRNA from 1 species
GCAUAUCAAUAAGCGGAGGAAAAAGAAACCAACAGGGAUUGCCCCAGUUAACGGCGAGUGAAGCGGCAACAGCUCAAAUUUGAAAUCUGGCCCCUCGGGGUCCGAGUUGUAAUUUGUAGAGGAUGCUUUUGAUGAGGCGCCGCCUGAGUUCCCUGGAACGGGACGCCAUAGAGGGUGAGAGCCCCGUCUGGCUGGCCGCCGAGUCUCUGUAAAGCUCCUUCGACGAGUCGAGUAGUUUGGGAAUGCUGCUCAAAAUGGGAGGUAUAUGUCUUCUAAAGCUAAAUACCGGCCAGAGACCGAUAGCGCACAAGUAGAGUGAUCGAAAGAUGAAAAGCACUUUGAAAAGAGGGUUAAAUAGUACGUGAAAUUGUUGAAAGGGAAGCACUUGUGACCAGACUUGGGCUUGGCGAAUCAUCCGGCGUUCUCGCCGGUGCACUUUGCCUCGUCCAGGCCAGCAUCAGUUCGCCGCGGGGGAUAAAGGCUUCGGGAACGUGGCUCCUCCGGGAGUGUUAUAGCCCGUUGCGUAAUACCCUGCAGUGGACUGAGGUUCGCGCAUCUGCAAGGAUGCUGGCGUAAUGGUCAUCAGUGACCCGUCUUGAAACACGGACCAAGGAGUCGUCUUCGUAUGCGAGUGUUCGGGUGUCAAACCCCUACGCGUAAUGAAAGUGAACGCAGGUGAGAGCUUCGGCGCAUCAUCGACCGAUCCUGAUGUUCUCGGAUGGAUUUGAGUAAGAGCAUACGGGGCCGGACCCGAAAGAAGGUGAACUAUGCCUGUAUAGGGUGAAGCCAGAGGAAACUCUGGUGGAGGCUCGCAGCGGUUCUGAGCGUGCAAAUCGAUCGUCAAAUAUGGGCAGUGGGCG